rnacentral:rRNA from 1 species
CAGCAGCCGCGGUAAUACAGAGGGUGCAAGCGUUAAUCGGAAUUACUGGGCGUAAAGCGCGCGUAGGUGGUUUGUUAAGUUGGAUGUGAAAUCCCCGGGCUCAACCUGGGAACUGCAUCCAAAACUGGCAAGCUAGAGUAUGGUAGAGGGUGGUGGAAUUUCCUGUGUAGCGGUGAAAUGCGUAGAUAUAGGAAGGAACACCAGUGGCGAAGGCGACCACCUGGACUGAUACUGACACUGAGGUGCGAAAGCGUGGGGAGCAAACAGGAUUAGAUACCCCUGUAGUCCCUGUCUCUUAUAA